CACCCGACUUCUGCUUGUAAGAAAAGUAUCCCACGUGCGAAAAAAUUUGUGUCGAAGAAAAUGCGUGGCUGUGGCGUUGCUUAAGGACAUUCCCCCUGUGACCUUCAGCAGUUUUGCAGCUCAGAGCUACAGGAAUUGAGUGACAAGUGCUGGGAGAAUUAGCUCUGCUGGGGAAACGUCCACAUGAACCCAACAAACACCAGGAGCUUUCGGCAAUCCGUCUCCCUUGGCCUAUUUCACUCGAACACAGUUGGAAGACUCUGGAUUUUUCUUCCCGGUUGUGACAUUCUUUUAAUUCCUACAAAGCUAGCAAGUCAUCCGAACAACUGCAGCAGAUGAGA